UACAGUAGUAGAAUGACUGAUACAAAGCGCCAUUUAAUAUAACAACCAGGCUAUACAGUAGUAGAAUGACUGAUACAAAGCACCAUUUAAUAACAACACUAACAACCAGGCUAUACAGUAGUAGAAUGACUGAUACAAAGCACCAUUUAAUAACAACAACCAGGCUAUACAGUAGUAGAAUGACUGAUACAAAGCACCAUUUAAUAACAACAACCAGGCUAUACAGUAGUAGAAUGACUGAUACAAAGCACCAUUUAAUAACAACACUAACAACCAGGCUAUACAGUAGUAGAAUGACUGAUACAAAGCACCAUUUAAUAACAACAACCAGGCUAUACAGUAGUAGAAUGACUGAUACAAAGCACCAUUUAAUAACAACAACCAGGCUAUACAGUAGUAGAAUGACUGAUACAAAGCACCAUUUAAUAACAACA
ensembl:lncRNA